rnacentral:rRNA from 1 species
CGUGGGUAACCUGCCUCAUACAGGGGGAUAGCAGCUGGAAACGGCUGAUAAAACCGCAUAAGCGCACAGCAUCGCAUGAUGCAGUGUGAAAAACUCCGGUGGUAUGAGAUGGACCCGCGUCUGAUUAGCUUGUUGGUGAGGUAACGGCCCACCAAGGCGACGAUCAGUAGCCGGCCUGAGAGGGUGACCGGCCACACUGGGACUGAGACACGGCCCAG